rfam:Aedes albopictus isolate Foshan contig70730, whole genome shotgun sequence.
UGCCCAGCAACUCCUAUCCCUACCUCCACGCGGUACCGGCCGGAAACUAUGAGCAACCUUAGGGAAGAUCGGGUAGCCAACCCCGGUGGGAACUUUGGUCGUAGGCUGACAGGGAAGG